rnacentral:rRNA from 1 species
GACGUAGGUGGCGAACGUUAUCCGGAAUUAUUGGGUUUAAAGGGUGCGUAGGCGGACUUAUAAGUCAGUGGUGAAAUCUCGUUGCUUAACAACGAACGUGCCAUUGAUACUGUAGGUCUUGAGUACAGAUGCCGUUGGCGGAAUGUGUCAUGUAGCGGUGAAAUGCAUAGAUAUGACACAGAACACCGAUUGCGAAGGCAGCUGACGAAACUGUAACUGACGCUGAGGCACGAAAGCGUGGGGAUCAAACAGG